rnacentral:rRNA from 1 species
AUUGAACGCUGGAGGCGUGCUUAACACAUGCAAGUCGUGCGAGAAAGGGACUUCGGUCCUGAGUAGAGCGGCGCACAGGUGAGUAACGCGUGGGUGAUCUCCCUUGGUGAUCGGGAUAACAGCGGGAAACUGCUGCUAAUACCGGAUAAUCUUCAUGUUUAACUUCAUGGGGUAAAGGUGGCCUCUGCUUGCAAGCUACCACAUCAAGAUGAGCCCGCGUCUCAUUAGCUGGUUGGUAGGGUAAUGGCCUACCAAGGCUACGAUGAGUAGCUGGUCUGAGAGGAUGACCAGCCACACUGGGACUGGAACACGGCCCAGACUCCUACGGGAGGCAGCAGUGGGGAAUAUUGCGCAAUGGGCGAAAGCCUGACGCAGCGACGCCUCGUGAGGGAUGAAGGUCUUCGGAUCGUAAACCUCUGUCAAGAGGGAAGAAACCCUUAGGUUCGAAUAGGGCCUUUGGCUGACGGUACCUCAAAAGGAAGCACCGGCUAACUCCGUGCCAGCAGCCGCAGUAA